rnacentral:tRNA from 1 species
GCCAUCGUGGCGCAAUGGUAGCGCAUCACCUUCCUACUAGUGGUUGCAACCUGCAGUGCUGGCGGUCAGGUGGGGGUUGCGGGUUCGAGCCCCGUCGGUGGUA